rnacentral:rRNA from 1 species
AAUGAACGCUGGCGGCAUGCCUAACACAUGCAAGUCGAACGGCAGCACGGGUGCUUGCUUCUGUUGGCGAGUGCCGAAGGCGUGAGUGAUACAUCUGCAUAUGUCCCUUAUUUGGGGGUGGCGCGUAGGAAGCGGGAUUUAUACUACAACCGAACAACGUCUACGGGCGGGUGCACUUGAGCUCUCGCGCUUUCGGGUUGGCUGGUGGCGGAUUAGCUAGUUGGUGGGGUAAAGGCCUACCAAGGCGACGAUGAGUAGCCGGUCUGAGAGGGUGAUCAGUCACACUGGGACUGAGACACGGUCCAGACUCCUACGGGAGGCAGCAGUGGGGAAUUUUGGACAAUGGGCGAAAGCCUGAUCCAGCAAUGCCGCGUGUGUGAAGAAGGCCUUCGGGUUGUAAAGCACUUUUGUUCGGAAAGAAAACCUUGGCCCUAAUACAGUCGGGUGAUGACGGUACCGGAAGAAUAAGCACCGGCUAACUACGUG